GCUGGGUGUGGUGGCUCACACCUGUAAUCCCAGCAGUUUGGGAGGCCGAGGCGGGUGGAUCACCUGAGGCCAGGAGUUCGAGACCAGCCUGGCCAACAUGGUGAAACCCCAUCUCUA
rnacentral:SRP_RNA from 2 species